rnacentral:rRNA from 1 species
UACGUAGGCAGCAAGCGUUGUUCGGAGUUACUGGGCGUAAAGGGUGUGUAGGCGGUUGUUUAAGUUUGGUGUGAAAUCUCCCGGCUCAACCGGGAGGGUGCGCCGAAUACUGAAUGACUUGGAGUGCGGGAGAGGAAAGUGGAAUUCCUGGUGUAGCGGUGAAAUGCGUAGAUAUCUGGAGGAAUACCGGUGGCGAAGGCGGCAUCCUGGACCGGCAUUGACGCUGAGGAGCGAAAGCUAGGGGAGCAAACGGG